rnacentral:rRNA from 1 species
GUGAGUAACACGUGAGCAACCUGCCCCUGACUCUGGGAUAAGCGGUGGAAACGCCGUCUAAUACCGGAUAUGACCUGCCACCUCAUGGUGGCGGGUGGAAAGUUUUGUCGGUCAGGGAUGGGCUCGCGGCCUAUCAGCUUGUUGGUGGGGUAACGGCCUACCAAGGCGAUUACGGGUAGCCGGCCUGAGAGGGCGACCGGCCACACUGGGACUGAGACACGGCCCAGACUCCUGCGGGAGGCAGCAGUGGGGAAUAUUGCACAAUGGGCGAAAGCCUGAUGCAGCGACGCCGCGUGGGGGAUGACGGCCUUCGGGUUGUAAACCUCUUUUACCACCAACGCAGGCUCCGGGUUUUCUCGGGGUUGACGGUAGGUGGGGAAUAAGGACCGGCUAACUACGUGCCAGCAGCCGCGGUAAUACGUAGGGUCCGAGCGUUGUCCGGAAUUAUUGGGCGUAAAGAGCUCGUAGGCGGCAUGUCGCGUCUGCUGUGAAAGACCGGGGCUUAACUCCGGUUCUGCAGUGGAUACGGGCAUGCUAGAGGUAGGUAGGGGAAACUGGAAUUCCUGGUGUAGCGGUGAAAUGCGCAGAUAUCAGGAGGAACACCGGUGGCGAAGGCGGGUUUCUGGGCCUUACCUGACGCUGAGGAGCGAAAGCAUG